rnacentral:rRNA from 1 species
GACGAACGCUAGCGGCGUGCUUAACACAUGCAAGUCGAACGGAAAGGCCCUGCUUUUGUGGGGUGCUCGAGUGGCGAACGGGUGAGUAACACGUGAGUAACCUGCCCUUGACUUUGGGAUAACUUCAGGAAACUGGGGCUAAUACCGGAUAGGAGCUCCUGCUGCAUGGUGGGGGUUGGAAAGUUUCGGCGGUGGGGGAUGGACUCGCGGCUUAUCAGCUUGUUGGUGGGGUAGUGGCUUACCAAGGCUUUGACGGGUAGCCGGCCUGAGAGGGUGACCGGCCACAUUGGGACUGAGAUACGGCCCAGACUCCUACGGGAGGCAGCAGUGGGGAAUAUUGCACAAUGGGCGGAAGCCUGAUGCAGCAACGCCGCGUGCGGGAUGACGGCCUUCGGGUUGUAAACCGCUUUCGCCUGUGACGAAGCGUGAGUGACGGUAAUGGGUAAAGAAGCACCGGCUAACUACGUG